rnacentral:rRNA from 1 species
AUUGAACGCUGGCGGCAUGCCUUACACAUGCAAGUCGAACGGCAGCACGGGAGCAAUCCUGGUGGCGAGUGGCGAACGGGUGAGUAAAGUAUCGGAACGUGCCCAGUCGUGGGGGAUAACGUAGCGAAAGUUACGCUAAUACCGCAUACGAUCUAUGGAUGAAAGCGGGGGAUCGCAAGACCUCGCGCGAUUGGAGCGGCCGAUAUCAGAUUAGGUAGUUGGUGGGGUAAAGGCUCACCAAGCCGACGAUCUGUAGCUGGUCUGAGAGGACGACCAGCCACACUGGGACUGAGACACGGCCCAGACUCCUACGGGAGGCAGCAGUGGGGAAUUUUGGACAAUGGGCGAAAGCCUGAUCCAGCCAUGCCGCGUGCAGGAUGAAGGCCUUCGGGUUGUAAACUCCUGUUAAGUGGGAUGAAAAGCCUACAAGUAAUAUGUGUAGGCGCUGACAGUACCACUAGAGAAAGCUCCGGCAAACUUCGUGCCAGCAGCCGCCGUAA